GCCGGGGAGGCUCACCUCCCGCCGCAGCCUCCCGCCAGCGUCCCGGUCAUGCCCGUGAUGGGCACCCAGUUGCCUCUAACCUGCUACUACAAUGAACAUCUUUGUGUCUGUCCCCUUAUGAACCUGUGCUCAAGUUUCUUCAGGAUGCAUCCCUGGGAUGGAUUACUGGAUCAUAUUCAUUUCCAAUAAACAUUUUCAAUGAAGAUAAUGAAAUCAGUGCAGACAAGGCUGCUUUUACUUAAAAGGAGGAAUGAAAAGAAUGCUUUUUAAAAUCAUGGAUUGGCAAAUGGAGUCAAAGAUUUUAAAGCACCUGGCUGUUGCCUAAUUAAAGGUAUAGAUGUCAAGAA